rnacentral:lncRNA from 1 species
CCUAAUUUUCUGUUGUCGACCAAAAUCGCCAAAUUUCUAACUUUCGCCAAUUCAAGCAUAAUUCUACCACGGACCUCCAAAUUUCAUUCCGAACACAAUCCUAAGUUUAAAUCACCCAAUGAAGCUAACCAAAUCAUAAAAAUUCAAAUCCGAAUUUGAUUAAUCAUAAGUCAGCUUCCGAUUAACUUUUCUAACUUAGCUUUCUAACUAAGACACUAAGUGAUCAUUUCAUUCCAAAACUACUCCGAACUUAAACCUACCAACUCGAUACAACUCAACAGAGCUGAACAAUAAAUAAAAAAAACAAAAAUGGGAAAAAUAGAGUUAUAACUCUUAGAACGACUGGCUGAGUCAUUAUAAGAAUAUCUAGAUGUCUCAAAUAGAUAAACUUAUCUUCCCAUAACAUUAUACAAGAUCUAGAUGUGUCUACUAAAUAAAUAUCAAGUAUACUACCCCAGGACAUUCUAGAGAAGUCUAUGUUUUUCCAGAAAAUCAACAUUACUUUAUUUUUCUCGCACCCGCGACCAUAGGAUAUCAUCAAUGAUGAACUAUAAUUCGUCCUCAUCUGGAGUAAUAGUGCCAUCAAAGAAACCAGUUUUGUUUAUCGCCGUCAAAACGUCCAAAACCUCUUUUCUCCAAGUGUUGUAAUUAGAUCCAUCAAACAAUCUCUCGACCAGUGGCUUUUCAAUAUCACCUUCCUCAAUGUCAUGCUCGCCAGGCCUUACACCCACCAUCUUGAACGAUGAGAAAUGGAAUCGCAAAGGAGUCUAUUGAGGGAAAAAUGAGGGAAUGAGUCGCGCAAAAAUCGAAGUAUUUGUGUGUUUUAUACUAAUUUCUCAAGUACCCUCCCCACUUGAAUGCAUACGUUUCUCUUUGAAGGCAAUGGAGCACGUAACGAGGAAAAAAAGAAAGAAGAAGGAAAUAGAGCACAUGGAUUGAUGACGUGGCUAAAAUUUGAGGACUCACGUCACGCGGAUCAUGGACAUGGCUGAGAUCUAAGGGCUCAAGUCACGCGGAUCGAUAGAAUUGAAGAGGAAGAAACGUAAUGAAAGAGGAGUCUGUCGAGAGUAAAAUCGAGGGAAAGGGUACGCGCAAUAAGUAGUACUAUUGUUUUCAUUUGUUUCUUUAAGGCAAUGGAGCACGUGACUAAAAAAGGCCAUGGAGCACACGGAUCAAUGACAUGGAUGAGAUCUGAAGGCUCAAGUCACACGGAUCAAUAACGUGGCUGAGAGCUAAAGGCUCAAUUCACAUGGAUCGAUGGCGUGGCUGCAAUCUGAAGGUUCAAGUCAUGCAGAUUGAUAGUUGUCAGUCUUCUUUUUGUUCAUUUCUGGGCCUGCUACUGCUACUGCAACUAACUAAAUUUUUUGAAAGAAAAAACUUGUUUAGUAAAUUCGAAUAAUAUCUUUUUAACUAUUGCGUAAGCUUCAAAUAUCUUACUUCUUUCUCCAAAAUUAAGUAAAUAUUCUUUCGAUCUGCAUUUUGAAAAUGAUGAACUAAGUGGGCGUUUGAACAUAAGAAUUGUAAAAUUUCACAAAAAAAGAGAAAAUAGUAUUUGAAAAUAUUCUGUGAUUAUUCAUUGUUGUUUUACCUGUUUGAUUGUUGCUGUUUUUGAGCUUGCUGAUCUAUUUCUCCAGUUUUCAGCUUUUACUUGGCAUUUAUUGACUAUCUUUCAUAGAAAGUAUGUGAGAUUCUCUCCUUAUGUAAAUAUAGGAUAAACAUGUUGAUAUUGUGCUUAUGCCUGCUUCAUGUGUGCUAUGAUGUUUGUAGGAUUAAAUUUAUCCAUCUUUGUUCUAUGUUUGAAAUCCGAUUCAUUUGCUUAGUUCUAAUUGAAUACACAUGAUGUGUUGACUCAUUAACUGGGUUAAUGUGUUACUUUAUUCACUUAUCUUGAUGUAAGGUUGUUGUUAAAUCAAAAGAGCUCAUACAAGUUUUUUCUGAAUGUAUUUGUUGACUUAAGAAUAAAUUGAGAAAAUCAUGGUUUGCUUCUGUUAACUUCUGUUCCUAGAUCUCUUUGAUUAAGCAUGAAUUUAGGAUUUGGCACCUCUAUAAUAUACCGUUCGACUGAUUGUUUGUGUUAAUGUGUAACAGAAAAAGUCAUUUGUUGCCACAAAUAUGGCGAAUGUUCAUGGAUCUGCCCAUUAAUUGGUCAAAUUUGUAAACCUCAAAGCCAAAAGAUUGUGUCAAGAAUAUUUGAAACAGUUGUAGUUUAGGUGUGCUCAUGUAGAAAGAUAUACUUUUUAAUGUAAUUCUGAGUAUGAAUACC